GUGGACAUCCUUUUAAUAAUGUGCUCCUGAAUGGGAAGCAACAUAUCAAAGAAUCAUUUUUUCUAAAUUAAUAUGGCAGUAAUGAGGCACAAAAUGUUCUCCUUUCAAUUAGUUCACUAAGUAAUUGGAUCCUGACCCAAAGAGAGCAUAUAUUUUUAUUUUGGCAUUAUCAUAAUAAUUUUGUUGGUAGGUAACACUAACCCCCCGCCCCCCCCUCGUCUAUUUAAAAUCAUGAGUUGACUGAUAGCUGGAAAGUUCAUUUCAAUCCUGUAGGGAGGUUGAGAUAUUCUUGUGGAUAAGCAACAAUGAGGAUUUAUUGCGUGAGUUAUCUAAAAUAUCAAAUAACACAAAAAAUGUCUGGAAGCCUUGCAAAAGAUAAUGACCAACUUGCAGUGAAUUUCAGCUAUUUGGUCACUUUUUUUAAGGAAUUUAGUUUAGAAUUUAUAAAUUGAAUUCAAUUUCAAUUCCACCUAGGCAUGCUGGAAGCAGCCCACCCCUCUCCCUCUCAGAUUAUUAUGUAGAUUCCCCCCUUUCCUCUCUUUUUUUUAUUUUUUUAUUAUGUGUACUUUUCUGUUUAGGGUCCAUUGGAUCAAGUUUUAAAAAAUAAAGGCAAACUGCUCCAUGAGUAGCUAUUGAGAAAGUCUUUAAGGAUUUUUCUUUGUGAUAGCCAAUUAAGGGCAAUUUGUUAGUGUUAAGAAUUUUUGUUUUCCCGUACGGUCCUUUCGAGGCAAAAGGUAGAUGAAUAAAGAGGAAAAAAAGAAGCCUAAUGUUUCUUCUCAACUCAUGCAUGUUGUGUCAAUCUCAUUCAUUGCACAAAACAACAACUCUAUAUCAAGAGAAUACCAUUGACAUGCCCAAAUGCCUACUAGCAUACUUCAAUUAUGAAUAUGCAGAUUAGAACACUGGCAGUGGCACUGGAUAUGGUGAUGUGGUGGAGGCUAAGGUUGAGGCCGUGGUGUUGGCUGCAGAGUGGUUGCCAACAUUGUCGUUGUUAGUGUAGCUUAGGUGAACAUCAUCAUUGUUACUAAAACUGUCAUUGUUAUCAUUGAUGUCGGCACCAACUUCAAUGUUGCUAGGCACAUUACCCUUGUUGCGGGUGUUGUAAAUGAGGUUUUGAUGGUAGUUUGAUCAUGGAAUAUGUCCGUGGUGGGUGAUGGUGUUAUAUAUGUAUAUGUACGUGGGUGUUUAAUUUGUGUUCAAAAAGGCUUUUUGAUCUUUUGCUUGCAUUUGGAGUGUUGCUAGGAAGGUUUCAAUGAUGGUUUGGCCAUUGUUUGAUGAUGGUUUGGCCAUGGUAGGUGGUGGCGGUUUGGCUAUGGUGUGUGGUGGCAUUGGUAGAAGAAAAUAAAUUUUGGGGGAGAGAGGCAAAAGGCAAUAACAGAGGAGGUGGAUAAACUUCUAUCCACUGGUUUCUUUCGAGAAGUGACGUACCCCUACUGCCUGGCAAAUGUAGUGAUGGUGAAGAAAAUCACUGGCAAGUGACAGAUGUGUGCGAACUUCAUGGAUUUGAACAAGGCUUGACCAAAUGGUAACUUUCCUCUCCCUAAGACUGAUAGAUUGAUGGACUCCACAGCAAGUUUUAAAUUCUAGAAAAUAUCUUUUAUAAUCGUUCCAUCUUUCAUGAUGCCAAGUCUGGCCUUAAGAGGUGCUAGGUUGCACUCUCGGCACUAGGCCCAGGCCACGGAGCCUGGACCCGAAUUUAUUUUUGGAUCCUUUUAGGGCUUGAGCCUUGUUAAAAACAAAAAAUUAUUUGAAAAAAUACUAUAAAUCCUAGUCGAUCAAGAGACAUGGUUUGUAUAGCAGGAAGGACUCUUCUACAUGUCUAAUUUAUAUAUCACUUGAACUCUAGUUAUUAUUUCUCAUUACCUUAGAAUGGUUUGGACAAAUUGAAGGGAAUGAUGAUGGUGAUAUGUGCUAUCAUAUUUUAAUAGAUAUCUAUUCAUGCAAAUUAAAUAGAUUUUAUUCA
rnacentral:lncRNA from 1 species